rnacentral:rRNA from 1 species
ACCUGAUUCCAUCCCGAACUCAGAAGUGAAACGAAACAGCGUCGAUGGUAGUGUGGGGUCUCCCCAUGUGAGAGUAGAACAUCGC